rfam:Fonticula alba strain ATCC 38817 unplaced genomic scaffold supercont2.3, whole genome shotgun sequence.
CGCCCUGUAGCUCAGUGGAUAGAGCACUCGCCUCCUACUGCGUCCAGCAAGUUAGCGAGGGGUCGCAGGUUCGAUCCCUGCCUGGGUCG